CCUACGGGAGACAGCAGUGAGGAAUAUUGGUCAAUGGCCGGAAGGCUGAACCAGCCAUGCCGCGUGAAGGAAGAAGGAAUUCGUUCUGUAAACUUCUGUUAUAAAGGAAGAAAGACGGAUGGAGGAAAUGACAUCCGAGUGACGGUACUUUAUGAGAAAGCCACGGCUAACUACGUGCCAGCAGCCGCGGUAAUACGUAGGUGGCAAGCGUUAUCCGGAAUUAUUGGGCGUAAAGAGGGAGCAGGCGGCAGCAAAGGUCUGUGGUGAAAGACUGAAGCUUAACUUCAGUAAGCCAUAGAAACCGGGCAGCUAGAGUGCAGGAGAGGAUCGUGGAAUUCCAUGUGUAGCGGUGAAAUGCGUAGAUAUAUGGAGGAACACCAGUGGCGAAGGCGACGAUCUGGCCUGCAACUGACGCUCAGUCCCGAAAGCGUGGGGAGCAAAUAGGAUUAGAUACCCCUGUAGUC
rnacentral:rRNA from 1 species